ensembl:processed_transcript
GCUGUAAACAGACGUGUAUUAAGAUUUACGAUUUAAACAGGUUGGUAAUAUGUUUAGGUGUCGGUUUUGUGUGAAUAUUUUGAGAGCCUUACACAUGAUACACACUCAUCUGCAAAGUCCCAAACCUCGCACAGUUUAUCACGAACCCUUGUACAUUGCUCCUGAGGUUGGGUUUAACUAUUCUGAGGCUAUAUGACUUGCAUAAGGAGAUUGUGGUGUGAGUUCUUGCUUGAAGACUCAGGUUAAAUAAAAAAUCUUUUCAUACAAUUAAAGUGAUGUCAGUUAGUACUUUGCAAUUAAUUUUUGUCUUCCCUCAAGGUCUCCUUAAGAACGAAAAAAGACCCAGAAAUGUAUAGAGCUUAUCUUGGGCAUCUGUACUCUCAGUUCAAUGCAAAUAUAGC